AUUGAACGCUGGCGGCAGGCCUAACACAUGCAAGUCGAGCGAGCGGCGGACGGGUGAGUAUUGUCUGGGAAACUGCCUGAUGUAGGGGGAUAACUACUGGAAACGGUAGCUAAUACCGCAUACCAUCAGAUGUGCCCAGAUGGGAUUAGCUAGUAGGUGGAGUAACGGCUCACCUAUGCGACGAUCCCUAGCUGGUCUGAGAGGAUGAUCAGCCACACUGGAACUGAGACACGGUCCAGACUCCUAGGGGAGGCAGCAGUGGGGAAUAGUGCACAAUGGGGGCAAGCCUGAUGGAGCCAUGCCGCGUGUGUGAAGAGGGCCUUCGGGUUGUAUAGCACUUUAAGCGGGGAGGCGUUACCCGCAGAAGAAGCACCGGCUACCUCCGUGCCAGCGGCCGCGGUAAUUC
rnacentral:rRNA from 1 species